GUUAAUGUAGCUUAAACAUUUAUUAAAGCAAGACACUGAAAAUGUCUAGAUGGGUCCAACCGACCCCAUUGACA
rnacentral:tRNA from 1 species